rnacentral:rRNA from 1 species
GAUGAACGCUAGCGGCAGGCCUAAUACAUGCAAGUCGAGCGGCAAGGUGAGAAGCAAUUCGAGACCUAGAGCGGCGUACGGGUGCGUAACGCGUAUGCAACCUACCUCAUACAGGGGGAUAGCCCGGAGAAAUCUGGAUUAAUACCUCAUAGUACAGAGCGAGGGCAUCUGAGUGUUGCUAGAGAUUCAUCGGUAUGAGAUGGGCAUGCGUCUGAUUAGCUAGUUGGCGGUGUAACGGACCACCAAGGCGACGAUCAGUAGGGGUUAUGAGAGGAGGGUCCUCCACACUGGCACUGAGAUACGGGCCAGACUCCUACGGGAGGCAGCAGUAGGGAAUAUUGGGCAAUGGUCGGAAGACUGACCCAGCCAUGCCGCGUGCAGGAAGAAUGCGUUCUGCGUUGUAAUCUGCUUUUAUCUGGGAAGAAAAGGCCCAUGCGUGGGACAUUGCCGGUACCAGAUGAAUAAGCACCGGCUAACUCCGUGCCAGCAGCCGCCGUAAUAC